UACGAAGGGGGCUAGCGUUGUUCGGAUUUACUGGGCGUAAAGCGCACGUAGGCGGUUUGUUAAGUCAGGGGUGAAAAUCCCACAGCUCAACUGUGGAACUGCCUUUGAUACUGGCAAGCUAGAGUCCGGAAGAGGUAAGUGGAACUCCUAGUGUAGAGGUGGAAUUCGUAGAUAUUAGGAAGAACACCAGUGGCGAAGGCGGCUUACUGGUCCGGAACUGACGCUGAGGUGCGAAAGCGUGGGGAGCAAACAGG
rnacentral:rRNA from 1 species